rnacentral:rRNA from 1 species
GGUGAACGCUGGCGGUAGGCCUAACACAUGCAAGUCGAACGGCAGCACAGUAAGAGCUUGCUCUUACGGGUGGCGAGUGGCGGACGGGUGAGGAAUACAUCGGAAUCUACUUUUUCGUGGGGGCUAACGUAGGGAAACUUACGCUAAUACCGCAUACGACCUACGGGUGAAAGCAGGGGAUCUUCGGACCUUGCGCGAUUGAAUGACCCGAUGUCGGAUUAGCUAGUUGGCGGGGUAAAGGCCCACCAAGGCGACGAUCCGUAGCUGGUCUGAGAGGAUGAUCAGCCACACUGGAACUGAGACACGGUCCAGACUCCUACGGGAGGCAGCAGUGGGGAAUAUUGGACAAUGGGCGCAAGCCUGAUCCAGCCAUACCGCGUGGGUGAAGAAGGCCUUCGGGUUGUAAAGCCCUUUUGUUGGGAAAGAAAAGCAGCAGGUUAAUACCCCGCUGUUCUGACGGUACCCACAGAAUAAGCACCGGCUAACUUCGUG